GCCAGCUGGCUAAUAUCAUAAUUAACAAAGUUGCUACUACGUGUGCAAAGUUUAAUCGAAAAAUUUGCCAGUGCUAUGAUGGCAUUGUCACAAAGAUCACAAGGGACUCGGAGUCGACUUUUGCUCAAGGUGGAACGGCAAAGCUGUGUAGGCAAAAUGAGAAAUCUUGAACUUGUUCAGCCAAAGGAAAGAAAAUACUCUGGAGAUUCCUAUAAUUCAAAGAAAAUGGACUGGAGUAACAUCUGAGUUCUCAUGCAGCCAGAAUCCUCUUGAGAAGAACAGCCAGGAGGCUAAUAAUGGAGGGGCCAGAGAAGGAGGCCAGUGCUCCGAGGGUUAUCUCACAGCCUCAGAUGCUGGAUAAGCCGAAGGAGGCAGAAUCGCUUCUGGAUGACAUUCAGAAAGGCCGGAGUGAUUAUUGGAAGAGAAAAGCCUGCCUAUUCUUUUCCAAGGUGCCUGACUAUUCCCCGGGCCCGCCCGUCCGGCCACUGAUGAAUGAUUAGCCACCUGCCUCAGACAAAGGAUGCCCUGGGAGCCUCCCCACACCUACGGCCGCUUUGAAGGCUCUGCCAAGCUCACUUUUAAUCACGAGAAAGGAAUUACCCACAUGGAGUCAGCAGAAAAUGAGAAAGUAGAGCUCGUGCUGCGAAUCAUUCCAGCAAGUGCCAAGGGGCUAGUUGAGGAAUGGCUUCAACGAGGUGAAUAUCUUUAGCUUGUACUUAGGGUUUGGGUAGCGUAUAAUCAUUUUCUCUUUUAGGAGCAAUGAUUGUCCUAAGUGCCUUCCCCAGCCCGAGAGCAUCUGUCAG
rnacentral:lncRNA from 1 species